AUUGAACGCUGGCGGCAGGCCUAACACAUGCAAGUCGAGCGAGCGGCGGACGGGUGAGGAAUGUAUGGGGACUGCCCGAUAUAGGGGGAUAACUACUGGAAACGGUAGCUAAUACCGCAUACUAUCGGAUAACCCAUAUGGGAUUAGCUAGUAGGUGGGGUAAUGGCUCACCUAGGCGACGAUCCCAAGCUGGUCUGAGAGGAUGAUCAGCAACCCUGGGACUGGGACACGGCCCAGACUCCUACGGAGGCAGCAGUGGGGAAUAUUGCACAAUGGGCGCAAGCCUGAUGCAGCCAUGCCGCGUGUAUGAAGAAGGCCCUAGGGUUGUAAAGUACUUUCAGUGGGGAGGCGUUACCGACAGAAGAAGCACCGGCUAACUCCGUGCCAGCAGCCGCGGUAAUAC
rnacentral:rRNA from 1 species